UCGGAACCGGGGUACGGGAGGUAAUAGCGUGUACCAACCUGCCCCAUGCUCCAGAAUAGCUCUUGGAAACGGGUGGUAAUGCUGGAUGCUCCAACUUGACGCAUGUCUUGUUGGGAAAGUGUUUAGUGGCAUGGGAUGGGGUAGCGUCCUAUCAGCUUGUAGGCGGGGUAAUGGCCCACCUAGGCUUCGACGGGUAGCCGGCCUGAGAGGGCGGACGGUCACAUUGGGACUGAGAUACGGCCCAGACUCCUACGGGAGGCAGCAGGG
rnacentral:rRNA from 1 species